rnacentral:rRNA from 1 species
AUGGAGCCUGGAAGGAAACCUCGUCUUCUGGACCUAUGCAUCCGGAGCGCCGUCGACAACCUCAGGACCCUCAACAGCGUGGACAUCGUGGCUGAGGAGCUGCUCAAGAGAAUCCUGCCCCACUGCACCUUGGAGCAGCUGACCCACAUAGAGAGCUGCACACAUGCGGACCUUACCGACGUUACCGAUGUGCUGUGGAAGAGAUUCUUCCAGCGGGAGUUUGGUGAGGAUAAUAUGAACCUUGCCAUCAAGAGGAUGAAGGAGAACGGAGUGCGUUACAAAUGGAAGAAACUCUUUGAGGCAAGAACAGAAAAGCAAAAGCAAGUUGAAGCAAGAAUGUCGGCAGGGCUGAAAAACAAAUAUCAAGCAGCAAACGCUGCGAAACAAAGCAAACAAAUUAAAGUUUGUACGAAGAUCCCACCCAACAGCAAAAGAAGUUUUUGGGGAGGAAGUGGAUCCAGCAGCCUAUCCAACUCCAGCUACAAGAGCCCUAUAUUGAAAAAGGCAAGGAUGGAGGUUGACAGCCGGGCGAAAAUGCAAGCUGCUAUCCAAAGGAACACUUUUGCGAGGUCAUCACAGCCAGCAAGGCUGACCUUUCCUAGUGAACAGACAUCGAGGACGACGACAAUUCAUCGACCUAAUUCAACGAUAACCAUCACCAAACCAACUGGUCCGAACAGGCCGAUUCAAAAGCAGAACACCAGACCCAAAUUUUAG